UGUAUUCGCUAAUUAAAACACUGUGAAUCUUUCCCUAGUACUAAGAUAUUCGUAAACUGAGAAAGCAGCAAAACACAGUCAGCCGCAACAGACAGAAGCCCAUCUUCAUCCCAUCCACGACUCAUGCCAAGGCCCGGAAUCCAUGCAAAGAAAUCCAUCUUACGAGAUUUUUCUAGGGUCCUGGUGUGGAUGGUGGGGACACGGACUGACGCCAGCCCUGGCUUUAUUGUACAGGCUGGCCCACUGAAACCCAGAGCUGUCUGUCUGCAUUUCAACACCUUCUUUUUGUUUUCCAUCCUUCAAAAGGCUCAACCAGUUCAAACAGCAGCUCCGUCUAGACAGCAACCCCAGCGCUGGAGCGGCCCAGCCACCUCUUCUCUCCUCCUUGCUGACUAUCGGUCAGGCUCUGCUGAACACGGUGAAAAGGCUCUUGGUCACCUGUUCACGACACCAACAACCGUGUUGUGGUUCUCUUUAAUCCUCCCACCACACCCCCACCCCCACCCCGAAACAGGGUUUCUCUGUGUAACAGCUC